GGGGAGGCAAGGCUCCGUCCCCACUGGCCCCGCCCCUACGUACCUGCGCUUCCGGCCUCGUCCCAACGUCGCCUCUCGUUGGCCGCGGCGUAGCGCACUCACCUUACUCUGUACUGGAUGUUCCGCCCGCGCGUGCGCAGUAUCCUGCAGACCCGGAAUUGAGUUUAAAUGAGCGACAGAGAGGUCUGGGGUUCCCAAGACUGAUGUUACCUGAGAAGGAAUCCCAGAGGAAGAGGAAAGCAAGGAGUCAGAAAUGACUCGUUCCAAGGAGCCUGGGUGUUGCCUCUGAGCCAUCCCAAGAGUGCCUUCCAGGUUUCAGGGAAUCACCAAAUGGUGAGUCACCUGCUUGCUGCAGGGAAUCUCUGUCUAUCUCUGCCGGUGUCA
rnacentral:lncRNA from 1 species